AGAGUUUGAUCCUGGCUCAGGACGAACGCUGGCGGCGUGCCUAAUACAUGCAAGUCGAGCGGAUCUUCUCCUUCGGGAGAAGGUUAGCGGCGGACGGGUGAGUAACACGUAGGUAACCUGCCCAUAAGACCGGGAUAACAUUCGGAAACGAAUGCUAAGACCGGAUACGCAAGGCGGUCGCAUGACUGCCUUGGGAAACA
rnacentral:rRNA from 1 species